GGAUGUGAGGGCGAUCUGGCUGCGACAUCUGUCACCCCAUUGAUCGCCAGGGUUGAUUCGGCUGAUCUUCCUCCCUCACAGCUCCAUGUGCGUCCCUCCCGAAGCUGCGCGCUGGGUCGAAGAGGACGACCAUCCCGGUAGAGGAGGACCGGUCUUCGGUCAAGGGUAUACGAGUAGCUGCGCUCCCCUGCUAGAACCUCCAAACAAGCUCUCAAAUAGGGGUAGUUUUACUUUCUUUCUUCCAAUCUGGAUGCUUAAUUGUUCAUUUAAUUGGAUACCUAUUUUUUAACUUCAUUUUUUUAAAUUGUUUUUAUAA
ensembl:misc_RNA 7SK 7SK RNA